CUGCUCAAAAAAAAAACCUUGGAGCUUUGGGCUUGUCUGGGUUGGGGCCUGUGCUCUGCUGAGAGUGACUGUCCUCAGCUCCAGUUGAUGGCAAGGGAUUGGGUGUCGGGACCACAGUGGCUGCCUGCACUACCGAAGAAUGUUCUUUUGUGGGGUGGGGUCUCUGUGGUGGUGGAACAAGGAGGUUUUCCGGCACCACUUUCCAUCCGCCCUGCGUGUUUCAGACACUGUCAGCUUGGAGAGGAGAGUAGUCCCCCAGUGGAGCCGGCUACUCCAGCCAUUUGCAGUCCUUUGCUGGCUGCCCAGGGCUCAAUGGAAGUGGCCGUGGCCCAGGAAGAGGGGACACAUUCCUGGAGGCACCUGGAGACCACCUUUUCAGGACUGUGAGUAGGAGUUUCAUUUAACUGAGAAUCAGAUCUUUACUGAGUGUUUGGGCCCCAGUACUACCAGCUGCUCAGAAGGGUGGACCUAUGGAGAAGCAAUCACAUGCUUCUGGGUGUACUGUAGCCUACAAUUCUGAUACUGCUUUCCUCAGGGAGUUCUUAGUGUAGGUAUGGGGAAUAACCUAAGGACCAUACUUCUAAAGGACAGCCCUGCUUGGAGUCCACUCUGGAUCCUCUCUCAGGCCUGAUUUUAGUGCCUGGUGCCCAGGACUCCUAGUAGAUUUGGAUUGUACCCUAGUUUUCCUGCUGGUGCUGCAACCAGUGGAUGAAGAGUUGGCUCUUCCUGAGAUCCAGCUAGGGUGUGUGUGGGUCAGGCCUGGUGGGAUGGGGGUAUCCUAAGAAUCUCUCAGACCCGUCCCCUUCCAGUCCAGGCUUUUAGAACAGCUACCCAGGAAGUGCCAGAUCCCCCUCUUGGUUUCUUAAGAGGCAGUCGCUACCCCCUCCGCCCAGCCUGAUUGUGACCACAGCCAGAGCCUUCAAACUAUCCACCACAACCAGAACCCUACUACACUGUCACUCACCCGCAGGUGGGGGAAUAGGGUAAGCGCUCUGGGGUCUGCUGUCUUUGGGACAUCCUGGAUAGGUGAAAUCCUGUGGAGGUUCGGGGCAUUGCUAGCUUGUGCUGUGAAAUUUUGGAGAGACUGACAGUGCACCUGCCCAGUCAGUCUCCUUGGGCCCUUCCGCAGGAGUCUGAUCCGUGACUCAAAAGAGGCUGUGACAUUUAGAAUGUGAUCUCCCAGAGUGGGGGUAAGAAGAGCGGGGGGCAAGCAGAAAAGGGUGAGGGUGCUGGCAUGUCCAUGUAUGAGAGCUGGGGUUUUAAGUACUUAUUUUUUUGAAACAGGGUCUUGCUGUCACAGGGUAGAUCAGGCUGGCCUUGAAUUCAAGGUAUUCCUCCUGCUCCAGCCUCCCAAGUGGUAGGACUACAGGCAUGCACCGCCACACCUGGCUUGCAGGUUUUGAGAACGUUACUGUCCAGCUGCACCUACAGGGAACCUUCAGAUCAGCCUGCCCCCUCGUGACUUUCAAGGUGCCCCAGUGCCCCAGCCUAAAGGCUUGCUCCGCAGUAAUGAUCCCGCGUCUCACCUGAUACUUGCCUCGCCUGGUAACCCAGGCCCUUCCUCCCCUCGUCGCCAUACAUUUCCCUCAGCAGCUCUGCUCUGAAUGCACAGCGGACCAUGGCCACUGCUGACGCACACAUGUACCAGUACUCGCCCCGCAACUGCACACACCUCUUUCCUGGGGCCACUGUGACUCGGGCCAAGCUGUCCACUGAGGGUUAAGUCAGGCCCUGGGGUGACAUCAAAAGCCGAAGCCCGCUUCUCAGAUAAUUUUCAAACUUCUGGACCCAGCUGUUCCUGUGGAGAACCCAAGUAACGAUUAGAUUCAGGGUGCCCACUCCCACAGACAGUCCAGUACCAUCGGAGUGUCAGAACGGAGCCAGACACCCUCGGGAGGAGCGGGUGAGGUUCUGCCUGUGGGCAUGCAGGCAGGGUAGGCUGUCCUGCCAGCUCGGUUUCCCAGGUGAUCUGCCUCUACCCCAUUUGUGGUUCUUUAUUGUAGUUCCUGGGCUGACCCCUCGUCCCUGUCCUGUCCUCCCCCAUUCCUGUACCCUGGGGCGCUGUCUCCCACUUCUGUCCCAUCACCGAGCCCCUGUGUGGGCCCCCGCUGUAGGUUUUCAUUCCUACCCCUAUCUGAGGGUCUCCCACUGCGGCCCUCAUCGCUCUCCCCAUCUCUGCUCCUAUCACUAGCCCUUAUAAUUUCCCCUUUCGAGACAAGAGUACCUGUGCAGUUCAGCUUAGCUUUCAACUCACUUGUGUACCCCAGGCUGGCCUCAAACUCAUGGCAAUCCUCCUGCCUCAGCUUCCCGAGUGCUGAUACGACAGGCACGAGCCACCACACCUGCCUUUGUCACUGCUUCUGUAAUCUGCUUGUCAUUGUUUUCCCCUCAAGUCAUGACUCAGGUGUCAGGUGGUGACCCUUAUCCCUGCAGUUACCUCUCUGUGAUACCAAGGUAUCUCUUAAGUGGAGGGAUGUGACCCCUCCCACAUAAGUCUUGUUAGAGGACUAGAGAGCUCUGAGACCAUAGUCAGGAGAGCCAGUCCAAGAGGGCACCAGGACAAAACAAACACAGACCUGGGCUUUCAGCGUGCACUGGGCCUUCCCUGCCUGCUGUGACUACAGUCUCUAACUGUUCACUCUAGCCCUGACUCUAGGUCUGAAAGCUGCUGUUGCUUUUGCUCUGAUCAGGAAAGAGGAGUGUUGUGGAAGGCAGUCUCAGCUUGGUAACUGAUGUAAGCUGUGGGGCGGAGAAGAGACACGAGCCCGUGCCUUCCUCCAUAUGUCUAUUUGCCAAGGACCCAUUGAGCCCCACACCCAGUCACGUAUCCUCUGUGCGGUGUUUGAUGAGGGAACAGACGCAAAAGCAAGAAAGUCACCUAAACAACGUGAUUUACUGGAUUUUAAGUACAUUUCUAGUUUGGAUGAUGAGUUGAAUGCUUUACUGCACUGCCUGGAGAUGGCUGGCUGUGGUGCCACGUGCCUUAAUCCCAGCACUCAGAGGCUGAGGCAGGAGGAUCACUGCGAGUCAGAACCAGCCAGAGCUACAUAGUGACACCCUGUUAAAUAACAAAAAAACCCAACCCUGGAGAUAACGGAUACCAGAGUGAGGUGUCCAGGAAGUGGUGAGAUGUGCAGGUCUGGGCUCAGGGCCAGCAUUGGGCUGGAGAGGGACUCGUUACAGAGCUGGCACUGUCACCGUGAGGGAGGUCGUGGUCAUCCCUGGAGGUGCACUUCGCCAAGCAGGCAUGGGGAGGUGCCAUAGCAUGGGAGCUGGAGGAGGCGGCUGCAAGGCCUUAGAGGGCGGGACUCCGGCCAUUCCUUCUCCCACCCCAACCAUAGAGAAAAGGCCCAGUUAUCUGAGAUCCCACCUGUGGCCCUAGAGUUCCUAUGUGUGACUAACCUGUGAGGGAACUUCUCCAGCAGCAUACACUGGGUGACAGACCCUGGGGCGCCUCCAGGGUCUCCCCUUCUGCCACUGUGCCCUCUGUGAACUCAGGGGCAGUUGCCCAUGUCAUGGUUUUGCCCCUGAGUGCAGGCCUGCCCCUGGGGCUCCACCCAACAUGCAACACAUGGUAAGGACCAUGGGACGGGCAUCCUGUGGAUGGUGAGGUGGACAAGCUAGGGGUCUAGAGUAGACCUGUCUUCUCCUCCUCCCAGCUCGGUACAUAGGCUUUGUGUCUGCCACCACCAUACAGCUGGUGCUCCCUGUGAGUGCUGCUAGGCUUUGCUCCAGGACUGGCCAUGGUGUGCAGCAGAGCCUGGGCAUCCCUAUACCCUGCCAGGGUAGGUGCUGUGCCAUGUUCUGCCUGGCCAUAGCUGCCAUGGGUCAGCUCGCUCCAUAGCUGUCUUCCGGAUUCUGCCGCAGAAUUUUGAGUCCUGUGUGUGUGCUUGCAGCUUCACUCUGACGUGGCUGUGUCUUCAUCAGGCGGUGUGAGGGGCCAGGUGUGUGAGUGUGAUACCUGUCAGCUGGGCAGUACUGUGAAUGGUGCUGCCCUUCCACUGCCGUUCCUGGGAGAAUCCUUGCACCCCUCUGACACCAAGACCAGCUCUGACACUGAUCCUUCGACUCCAUGGUGACAUUUGACCUAAUUCCAUUCGCAGUCUCUGAUGACUGCUCCAGGCUGAGACUGUGACCCUGUGGGUGCCGUGGAGGGGAGCUUAUGCGAUGGUCAUCUGGACAAGACCUGUGGCCUCCUCUCUGGUCAUUGUUACUGCAGAGUCUACAUCUAGAGCCAGCUCUGCAACUCCUGCCAGCCUGGUCAUUAUGGCCUGAGUCAGCUCAACCUAAGCUCUAUCAGCAUGUGUGACCCUCAGGAUGGGCUCCCCCCAUCCCACUUGGUCAGCCCCCAGUAACUGCCCCAAUAACAAUGUCCCACUCAACUUAUAUCUGUCAUUAGCAGUCUGAGUGCCCUAAACCUUAGCCUGCAGGUGCAACCCCCAGCACCUGCGGGGGAUCACUCAUCCCUGUGACCCCUCUAGUAAUACCAGUCCCUCUGCUCUGAGCAGACUGUAGCCAUCGUCUGGUGACCCCUGACCCGUGCUCUGAUUUGACCUUGACCUUGGGCUCUGAAGUAGAAAGAAGUAAAAGAGUGUAAGGCUGUAGUCAUAGUGACAGAAGACAGCUUGCACAUGAAUGGGUGCCAUUCACUUACCUGGACAACACACCAAGCCCUACCAUAGCUAGUUGAACUAACAUAUGCCCUGAGGUGGGAGCUUGGGAAUGAAAGAGAUAAAAUAGAUUACAAAAGUUCACACUAGGUUUAAAAGAGUUUCUCAAAGCCAUUUGGGGGAAGACUCAGUCCAAGGAAUAACUGUAUCCCUUACUUGCCUUGAAUGUUAAAAACUGCAGUGUCCUCGUAUCCUUCUUGCCUUUUUGUCUUUUUUCUGCCUCUCCUGCUCCUCCCGCUUCCUCGGUGUACCCUCCUUUUGCCUCUCCUUUCUUCAUGGUCAUUUUUGUUUUUUGAGGCAGGGUUUUGCUAUGUAUUGCAGGCCGGCCUUCAACUCAAUAUGUAACUCCUGGCGGUUCUGCUGCUUCAUUCUCCCAAGUGUUGGGAUUAGAGGCGUGUCCCACCACGCCUGCUCUUCUUAUCUACUGUGAGGCAAUGGAAGAACACACCAGUUUCCUUUCCCGCUCAGCUACAAGGAGGCAUUCAAUUUACCCUGUUCCACAGCAGGAGUCCAGUGCGUGACUGCCCAUGCCCCCGACCCUCUCCUCUGCAGAAUUCCUGCCUUUCCCCUACCCAACUGCUCUGUCCUAUGGAUGAUUUUCUGGGGUCUGAGCAGUGACCCCCCCGCCAGGGCUGCCAGCCGUGUGAUUGUGAUUUUCUGGUGCCUAUGACAACAAGGACAGAGUAGCACCUGGGCUUUAGGGUCAUUUUGAGAUUUACCUUAUAUCCCCCACCACCACCUCAGCUGUUCUGUGAGGAAGGGUUUCUGCCUGUCCCACCUCCAUAGCCACCACUGCUGCGGGCUUUAGUCUGGAUACUUAACAAGGUCUCGUUAUGUCAUUCAGGCUGGCUUUGAACUCACUCUGUAGCCCAGGCCGGCCUUGUGGCAAUCCUCCUACCUCAUCCUCCCAAGUGCUGGGAUUACAGGUGUGCACCAUCACACCCGGCCCCAGUCUGAGUACUUCCGGACUGCCCUUGACCAGGGCACAGCUGAGGCGAAACUUGACCGGAUCCUCCAGCUGGCUGCCUGUGAGUAGCUGGGAGAGUUGAGACUUGGCACUCAGCAGAGGGAGUGAAUAUCCAAAGAGAACUAUUUGCAGGAAGAGGCAGAGCAGGGUUGGGAAGGGUGGGAAGCCCAGGUGAGGUUUUCAGCAUGGUCAGAGGCUCUAUGGCCUGGACAGAGCCUGUAUUAUUCUCAGGACUGUGGGAGACAAGUGGGCUGGAACGCUAAGGACACUGACACUUCAUUUGUCUCAGAGUGUCACAUGGUCUACCCCCUCCCACUACACACAACGUCCAGGGACUGCAGGGCCCUCAGCAUUGCCUCCAUUCCGCCUGGCAAGCCCAUCACACCUGCCAGCUGCCAAAGAUGCCGCUACUAUGCUGAGGUUGGCAUCAGUGCCAUCUGUAACCUUGUGAAUGGGCCAGUACAUAUGCCAGGCGGGACUUGGUCCCUACUGUGACUGCUGCCUCUGUGGCUGGCUGGGCUUCCCGCGAUGGACAUUCUGAGUUGUGCCGUCCGCUUACAGAUGUCUGCCAGGCCUGCCGUGGAGCCACUGCAGGUUAGCUCUGUGGGAGGCUGCAGUUGUAAACAGGAGCAUUGUUCCUCCUCGGUGCCCAUCCGCAGCUGAAGCUUGUUUCUGAAACCGCAUCAGUGCAUGUCGUGUGCCAAAGCUGAGCAUUCACGUUCUUUUCACCUGAUGACUGGUCUGUGCUCUCUUGCUCAGGUCACAGGUCCGUGCUUCUGCUGGCAAGGAUUUGGGGUUGCACGUUUUCCUGGUCUUAAGAUGGAUAUUGGAGUGACCCAGAGGAGGGGUGCAGGGGUGAGCAGAAUACUCACACAGUCCAAUAUAAGGGCUGAGGGCUACUCAACUGGAGUUUUCCUGAGGGAGAAACCCUCAGGAAGUACUUGUGAAAUACUUGUGAAAACAGUUAUAGGGGGAAAGUCAGCAAGUCUAGACAGAGGGUGCCUACAGAAGGACACCUUGGAUGGCUCCUUCCUGAGCCUGUCUGCCAGCCCUUGACCCUGGUACUCCCUGACGGGUUGUGCUGUUUUCCUGCCCAAAGGCUGCUGUGCAUGCUGAGGGCGUACCUCAGGGGUAGAGCACUUGCGUAAAUUGUGGGAGGCCCUGAAUUCUAUCCCAGUGCCACAAAAUAAACAAAGAAAGGAUGUUAUGCAGAAUGGCCACUCUGGUCAGGGUGGCUAUUGGUGCCCACGGCAGUUUUAAGCAAGGAAGGGCUGGUGUGCAACCUCGUACUUGCACGGAACCAUGCUUAAAGGGGAGGGUAGGAUGAGUGCCAUCUGCCCUCUGCCCCGAUCCUGUUUCCUCCCACAGUCUUGCACAGCUGUGAACCACACAAGGGCGCCUACCUGUCUGCAGAGAGGAUGUCUCAACGCUGAGGUGCCAGGUGUGUGCCUGUGACUCCAGAGAUUCCUUUCUACACUCAAGUCCUGUCUUACUGUUAUUGGGUAGCUUGCUUCUAGAAAGUGGCUCGCCAACUGUACACUACCGGGCUUGGGCCUGUUUGUCGCCUUCUGGAGUUGGAUUCCACUUCUUGAUCCUGGAAAGUGAAAAUUCUUCUCCCCACCCAAUUGAAUGUAAUUUGAAAUUUCUUUGAUCAAUACUAAGUACUUUCGCUUCUCCAGAUAUGAGGAAUUCGUUAACACUUAACUUAUAAAAACCAAAAAAAAC